rnacentral:rRNA from 1 species
UACGUAGGGUGCAAGCGUUGUCCGGAAUUAUUGGGCGUAAAGAGCUCGUAGGCGGUCUGUCGCGUCGAAUGUGAAAACCCGGGGCUCAACCCCGGGCCUGCAUUCGAUACGGGCAGACUAGAGUGCGGUAGGGGAGACUGGAAUUCCUGGUGUAGCGGUGAAAUGCGCAGAUAUCAGGAGGAACACCGGUGGCGAAGGCGGGUCUCUGGGCCGUAACUGACGCUGAGGAGCGAAAGCGUGGGGAGCGAACAGG